rnacentral:rRNA from 1 species
UACAGGGGGAGCAAGCGUUGUUCGGAAUUACUGGGCGUAAAGGGUCCGUAGGCGGCCAACUAAGUCCGACGUGAAAUCCCCAGGCUUAACCUGGGAACUGCGUCGGAUACUGGAUGGCUUGAAUUCGGGAGAGGGAUGCAGAAUUCCAGGUGUAGCGGUGAAAUGCGUAGAUAUCUGGAGGAAUACCGGUGGCGAAGGCGGCAUCCUGGACCGACAUUGACGCUGAACGACGAAAGCUAGGGGAGCAAACGGG